rnacentral:lncRNA from 1 species
AUGCAGAGAAUGAGUGGAAGUCUCUUUGUAUGGACAUGUAUUUCUACAAUACCCAUGAAUGUUUUCCUUCUGGCCACUGAAGAGGAGGAUUCAUCUUUAUCUUCACUGUCAUCAAAGGAUAAGAUUAAUUAUGCCACAACACUGCUGUUCAGAGCUGCUGUUCUCUUCUGUCUGAACAAAGGCAAUGCAACAUGGACUCCUCACAAAUCACAAGUCACUGAAGAGCUUCAGUCAAUUCAUGGAAAUAACAUUGCGGCUGAGAAGCAAAGGUAGUGUGAGGAGAUGAAGUGAAAUGACUCCUGGAAGAAUCUGUGCUAGACCCAGAAAUUACCCAAACCAAAGGUAAGCUGUGGACUCUUCAAAUGCUCUGAGCUUCUGGCUUUAUGUUUUAGACAGGCAAAGGGUAUGUACUAAUAUGUAGGUAUGGGGUCAGAAGAAGAGAAUAUACUGUCCUUCCAAUAAAGUGGAAAAGAUUCUCUCACAUGCAGCAUUUAUGCUCCUUUUCAUCCUGACUAGAAAUAGAUCUUGCUAUGUUACCCAAGCUGGACAUGAAUUCACAACUGUGCUUCCUUAGCCCUCUAAAAGAUAGGAUAACCCAUGUGUAC